GGGUCUUUGAUGAGAACUUUAUAUUGUCUUAAAGAGAGGUGAUGACAUAAAAAUUGUGCUCAAUAGUAUUAUGCUGAGCCC
rnacentral:snoRNA from 1 species